CCUACGGGAGGCAGCAGUGGGGAAUAUUGCACAAUGGGGGAAACCCUGAUGCAGCGACGCCGCGGGAGUGAAGAAGGAUUUCGGUAUGUAAAGCUCUAUCAGCAGGGAAGAAGAAAGACGGUACCUGACUAAGAAGCCCCGGCUAACUACGUGCCAGCAGCCGCGGUAAUACGAAAGGGGCAAGCGUUAUCCGGAUUUACGGGGUGUAAAGGGUGGGUAGACGGCUGUGCAAGGCUGAAUUGAAAACCCAGGGGUCAACCCUGGGGCGGCUUUGGAAACUGGGGAGCUAGAGUGCUGGAGAGGUAAGUGGAAUUCCUAGUGUAGCGGUGAAAUGCGUAGAUAUUAGGAGGAACACCAGUGGCGAAGGCGGCUUACUGGACAGUAACUGACGUUGAGGCUCGAAAGCGUGGGGAGCAAACAGGAUUAGAUACCCGUGUAGUC
rnacentral:rRNA from 1 species